rnacentral:rRNA from 1 species
UACGGAGGAUGCGAGCGUUAUCCGGAUUUAUUGGGUUUAAAGGGUGCGUAGGCGGGCAUUUAAGCCGGCGGUCAAAUGUCGGGGCUCAACCCCGGCCUGCCGUCGGAACUGGGUGCCUUGAGUGGGCGAGAAGUAUGCGGAAUGCGUGGUGUAGCAGUGAAAUGCGUAGAUAUCGAGAGGAACACUCGUGGCGAAGGCGGGUUCCUGGACAUUAACUGACGCUGAGGCACGAAGGCCAGGGGAGCGAAAGGG